AGAGUUUGAUCAUGGCUCAGGAUGAACGCUGGCGGCGUGCUUAACACAUGCAAGUCGAACGGUGAAGCAGGAGCUUGCUCCUGUGGAUCAGUGGCGAACGGGUGAGUAACACGUGAGCAAUCUGCCCUGGACUCUGGGAUAAGCGUUGGAAACGACGUCUAAUACCGGAUACGAGACGCGAAGGCAUCUUCAGCGUCUGGAAAGAACUUCGGUCCAGGAUGAGCUCGCGGCCUAUCAGGUAGUUGGUGAGGUAACGGCCCACCAAGCCUACGACGGGUAGCCGGCCUGAGAGGGUGACCGGCCACACUGGGACUGAGACACGGCCCAGACUCCUACGGGAGGCAGCAGUGGGGAAUAUUGCACAAUGGGCGCAAGCCUGAUGCAGCAACGCCGCGUGAGGGACGACGGCCUUCGGGUUGUAAACCUCUUUUAGCAGGGAAGAAGCGAAAGUGACGGUACCUGCAGAAAAAGCACCGGCUAACUACGUGCCAGCAGCCGCGGUAAUACGUAGGGUGCAAGCGUUAUCCGGAAUUAUUGGGCGUAAAGAGCUCGUAGGCGGUCUGUCGCGUCUGCUGUGAAAACCCGAGGCUCAACCUCGGGCCUGCAGUGGGUACGGGCAGACUAGAGUGCGGUAGGGGAGAUUGGAAUUCCUGGUGUAGCGGUGGAAUGCGCAGAUAUCAGGAGGAACACCGAUGGCGAAGGCAGAUCUCUGGGCCGUAACUGACGCUGAGGAGCGAAAGCGUGGGGAGCGAACAGGAUUAGAUACCCUGGUAGUCCAA
rnacentral:rRNA from 1 species